UACAGAGGUCUCAAGCGUUGUUCGGAAUCACUGGGCGUAAAGGGUGCGUAGGUGGCGUGGUAAGUCAGAUGUGAAAGCCCAGGGCUCAACCCUGGAACCGCAUCCGAUACUGCCAUGCUAGAGAACUGAAGAGGAGUGUAGAAUUCUCGGUGUAGCAGUGAAAUGCGUAGAUAUCGAGAGGAAUACCAACGGCGAAGGCAGCACUCUGGGCAGUUUCUGACACUGAGGCACGAAGGCUAGGGGAGCAAACGGG
rnacentral:rRNA from 1 species